AAACGAUAACGGCAAACCUGUCGAAAGGCAGGGACGCAAAGCUACAGGGCCUUCCCCAAACCUUGGGAUGGCAGCCAGCUACCGAA
rnacentral:ncRNA from 1 species